rnacentral:rRNA from 1 species
CCUACGGGAGACAGCAGUGAGGAAUAUUGGUCAAUGGGCUUACGCCUGAACCAGCCAAGUCGCGUGAGGGAAGACUGCCCUAUGGGUUGUAAACCUCUUUUGUCAGGGAGCAACGCCGGCUACGUGUAGCCGGACUGAGAGUACCUGAAGAAAAAGCAUCGGCUAACUACGUGCCAGCAGCCGCGGUAAUACGUAGGGGGCAAGCGUUAUCCGGAUUUACUGGGUGUAAAGGGAGCGUAGACGGCAGUGCAAGUCUGGAGUGAAAGGCGGGGGCUCAACCCCCGGACUGCUCUGGAAACUGUACGGCCGAAGUGCAGGAGAGGUAAGUGGAAUUCCUAGUGUAGCGGUGAAAUGCGUAGAUAUUAGGAGGAACACCAGUGGCGAAGGCGGCUUACUGGACUGUAACUGACGUUGAGGCUCGAAAGCGUGGGGAGCAAACAGGAUUAGAUACCCGAGUAGU